UCUCAGCGCGCGGUUGUAUCGUAUAAAUAUGGGUUAUACUGCGAAAACCACAAUUAUCCUAAUUUGUAUCACUGUUGUUUUUUGUGUGUCUGACGAAAAGUUUAAUGAAGUUACAAAGAAAAGCAGACGUAUUACCAAGAGAAACAUUCCGUGGCAAAAUUGGAUUUUAAGACCACCAUUUUGUAUUCCAUAUCGGAACUCGUGCCCAAAAGGAGGAUCUAGAUUAUGUUGUUCCUGGAGAUGUUUCCCUGUAUUUGGUUACAAUAAACCAUGGCGAUGUGUUUAAGAAGAAAAUCGAACCCAAUUAUCUAUUAGUUCGGAUCAUGUAAAAUGGACGGGAAAAUCAUA